GAUGAACGCUGGCGGCGUGCCUAAUACAUGCGAGUCGAGCGAACAGAUAAGGAGCUUGCUCCUUUGACGUUAGCGGCGGACGGGUGAGUAACACGUGGGUAACCUACCUAUAAGACUGGAAUAACUCCGGGAAACCGGGGCUAAUGCCGGAUAACAUUUAGAACCGCAUGGUUCUAAAGUGAAAGAUGGUUUUACUAUCACUUAUAGAUGGACCCGCGCCGUAUUAGCUAGUUGGUAAGGUAACGGCUUACCAAGGCAACGAUACGUAGCCGACCUGAGAGGGUGAUCGGCCACACUGGAACUGAGACACGGUCCAGACUCCUACGGGAGGCAGCAGUAGGGAAUCUUCCGCAAUGGGCGAAAGCCUGACGGAGCAACGCCGCGUGAGUGAUGAAGGUCUUCGGAUCGUAAAACUCUGUUAUUAGGGAAGAACAAAUGUGUAAGUAACUGUGCACGUCUUGACGGUACCUAAUCAGAAAGCCACGGCUAACUACGUG
rnacentral:rRNA from 1 species